rnacentral:RNase_P_RNA from 1 species
GGAGCGGGCCAGGUGAUCGCGGCUCGUCGAUUUUCGUCGGCGUGUCGAGGAAAGUCCGGGCUCCAGAGGACAGGGUGGUGGGUAACGCCCACCGGCCGCGAGGUCAGGGACAGUGCCACAGAAAACAAACCGCCGAACGGUCGGAAGACCUCUUCCGACGCGUGGUAAGGGUGAAACGGUGCGGUAAGAGCGCACCAGCGGACCGGGUGACCGGUCCGGCUCGGUAAACCCCACCCGGAGCAAGGCCAAGCAGGGCGAAGCGGUGUUCUUCGGAGCGCCGCACGGGUCGGUCCGGCCCGUUCGACGUCCGGGUCGGCUGCUUGAGGCGGCGAGCAAUCGCCGUCCUAGAGAAAUGAUCACUCACGACAAAACCCGGCUUACCGGCCCGCUCCGCUC